rnacentral:misc_RNA from 1 species
UGGUUCUGGCAUCGAUGAAGAACGCAGCGAAAUGCGAUAAGUAAUGUGAAUUGCAGAAUUCAGUGAAUCAUCGAAUCUUUGAACGCACAUUGCGCCCGCCAGCACUCUGGCGGGCAUGCCUGUUCGAGCGUCAUUUCAACCCUCAGGCCCUGCCUGGCGUUGGGGCUCUGCCGUGCGCGGCAGGCCCUCAAAGACAGCGGCGGGUGCGCCGUGGAACCGAACGCAGUAGCUCUAUUUCGUUCUGGAACCGCAGCGCUCUCCGGCCGUAAAACCCCAUAUUUAUACUGGUUGACCUCGGAUCAGGUAGGAAUACCCGCUGA